UGUAUUGACGUCCGUAUCGGAAGCGCAAUUGAUGGCACAUAUAAGUGGAUCAGGACAAU
rnacentral:sRNA from 1 species